rfam:Trichoderma gamsii strain T6085 Scaffolds0015.1, whole genome shotgun sequence.
UACCCUUUCAUGAUGAAUUAUUGCGGAUGUAAACUUUUUGUCACGUCGGAAAGCGCAAAACCAUGUCGAGAUUUCCGUUGCCUUCCUUCUGAUCUAUCAAGGGA